CACCUACUCCCUCCGUCCGAAAAUACUUGUCCUAAAAAUGUAUAUAAUGAAUGUAUAUAUAAUUAAAAUAAGUCUAGAUACAUUCAUCUCAACGACAAGUAUUUCCGGACGGAGGUAGUACUUG
rfam:Hordeum vulgare subsp. vulgare, WGS project CAJW01000000 data, contig: morex_contig_48197